GAUGAACGCUGGCGGCGUGCCUAAUACAUGCAAGUCGAGCGAACAGACGAGGAGCUUGCUCCUCUGACGUUAGCGGCGGACGGGUGAGUAACACGUGGAUAACCUACCUAUAAGACUGGGAUAACUUUGGGAAACCGGAGCUAAUACCGGAUAAUAUAUUGAACCGCAUGGUUCAAUAGUGAAAGACGGUUUUGCUGUCACUUAUAGAUGGAUCCGCGCCGCAUUAGCUAGUUGGUAAGGUAACGGCUUACCAAGGCAACGAUGCGUAGCCGACCUGAGAGGGUGAUCGGCCACACUGGAACUGAGACACGGUCCAGACUCCUACGGGAGGCAGCAGUAGGGAAUCUUCCGCAAUGGGCGAGAGCUUGACGGAGCAACGCCGCGUGAGUGAUGAAGGUCUUCGGAUCGUAAAACUCUGUUAUUAGGGAAGAACAAAUGUGUAAGUAACUAUGCACGUCUUGACGGUACCUAAUCAGAAAGCCACGGCUAACUACGUG
rnacentral:rRNA from 1 species